UACGUAGGCAGCAAGCGUUGUUCGGAGUUACUGGGCGUAAAGGGUGUGUAGGCGGUUCUUUAAGUUUGGUGUGAAAUCUCCCGGCUCAACUGGGAGGGUGCGCCGAAUACUGAGGGACUAGAGUACGGGAGAGGAAAGUGGAAUUCCUGGUGUAGCGGUGAAAUGCGUAGAUAUCAGGAGGAACACCGGUGGUGUAGACGGCUUUCUGGACCGACACUGACGCUGAGACACGAAAGCGUGGGUAGCAAACAGG
rnacentral:rRNA from 1 species